GUCGAGUGCGGAGGCGCACACCUGUAAUCCCAGCUACCUGGGAGGCUGAGGCAGGAGGAUUAUAAAUCCGAGGCCAGCCUGGGCAACUUGGUAAGACCCUAUCUCAA
rnacentral:sRNA from 1 species